GGCUUGCAGUCUGCACAGGCCGUCUACGAGGAAGCUGCGCAGGAACAGCUGUGACGAUCGGCACCCGCAGCCGGGCAGGACCGCCCUGCGACGGACAGCUGCCCCACCUUCUGUCCCUGCUUCCAGCUCAGGACCAGCAGGCGGCACGGCUCCUGAGACAGUGGGUGCUCAGUGAAUGUGUCUGACCAGAUGGAUGAAGACAGCCUCGGGUUAGUCGCCCAGCUACCCUCCUGGUCAUAAGAAGAAGAUGCAGGAAGCUUUAGGGAUGAGGAAAGAGCUCAUCUGUCUUCAAACGCACGUGAAGGGUCACCCAUCACCCAAUAAUCUCCCCUCCCCCAUGUCACAGCUAUCUUCUGCGCAGGGGAGCUUCCUGCUUUAUUCUCCCUUCACGCUGAGCAGUUACGACCGUAUCUGUUCAGAAGAAACAUAUGUGAGAAAUAUAAAAUACUCAGGCAGGUGAAUGGAAUGUCUCAGUUAAUCUUUUCUUCUGCACAUUCUGCCCUGGACCUUCUGCCUCCCUUAAGUAUUUUUCUUCCCUGAAUUUAUAGCCCCUCAGACUCUGUUUUGUAAUUUCAGGACUGGGUUGGGGACUGACUCUGCCUCCUUAUCACCGAUGAUCUCGACUUUAACUCUGUGCUUUAAAGUACUUCCCCAAAGAGCCCUCCCCCGUGGUUCUUGCCACGGAAGAUGCCGCCUGCCUGGCGGAGCGGGGGUGAUGCUCGGGGUGGGUCAGAGACCCUCGCUGACUGACCCUCUGUGUGCU